rnacentral:lncRNA from 1 species
CAGGUGGGAUGCCAGUUGGGAGCGAAGUCCAUUGCAUGUCUUCUGCUAUUUGUUAACUUUCACCACGGUCCAUCAGAAAACGGACCACUUCCCUUGGUAAUAUGAUAAUGCAUGCAAAAAGCAAAACUUCUCCAAUUUGGUAAUAAACUGACAUCUUUGUUGAACAACAGCAACAAAACAGAACGUGUCCAACAUGAGGCUCCUGUUUUUUCACAUGAUUCUCAAACAAUCCUAUUAAAGCUAUCCUCCUCCACCUUCCUG